AAUUUCAUAAGUCAAUAGUCUUUAGUUUAAAGCUUGGAACCUGUGGCAGAUAUAAUUAGGCUGAGAUAUUUUCUUGGCUGUAUGUUAACAUGGUUAACGUCCACAACUGCCAUCUGGCAUAAACAUAUGUCAUAGAACCCUUGUUGUUUGUGUUUUGGGCCGCAGAUCAGAUCAUUGCCGUUUUAAUUAUUAUACAAUCAUAAAAAAGAGGGAAAAAUACUUAAUCAAUUAUCAUGUAACGAGAAUAAUGACCUAAAAGUUUGGCCAAAAGAGU
rnacentral:misc_RNA from 1 species